rnacentral:piRNA from 1 species
UGGUGAUCCGAAGCAUUCCAGAGGCAAU